GGGAUUGUGGCUCAGUGGUAGAAUGCUUGCCUUGCACGCAUGAAGCCCUGGGUUCGAUCCUCAGCACCA
rnacentral:tRNA from 1 species